AGUGAACGCUGGCGGUAGGCCAAACACAUGCAAGUCGAACGGCAGCACAGGAGAGCUUGCUCUCUGGGUGGCGAGUGGCGGACGGGUGAGGAAUACAUCGGAAUCUACUUUUUCGUGGGGGAUAACGUAGGGAAACUUACGCUAAUACCGCAUACGACCUACGGGUGAAAGCAGGGGAUCUUCGGACCUUGCGCGAUUGAAUGAGCCGAUGUCGGAUUAGCUAGUUGGCGGGGUAAAGGCCCACCAAGGCGACGAUCCGUAGCUGGUCUGAGAGGAUGAUCAGCCACACUGGAACUGAGACACGGUCCAGACUCCUACGGGAGGCAGCAGUGGGGAAUAUUGGACAAUGGGCGCAAGCCUGAUCCAGCCAUACCGCGUGGGUGAAGAAGGCCUUCGGGUUGUAAAGCCCUUUUGUUGGGAAAGAAAUCCAGCUGGUUAAUACCCGGUUGGGAUGACGGUACCCAAAGAAUAAGCACCGGCUAACUCUGUGCCAGCCGCCGCGGUAA
rnacentral:rRNA from 1 species